rnacentral:rRNA from 1 species
ACUACGGGGGGCUGCAGUGAGGAAUAUUGGUCAAUGGGCGGAAGCCUGAACCAGCCAAGUAGCGUGCAGGAUGACGGCCCUACGGGUUGUAAACUGCUUUUAUACGGGAAUAACGCGCCUUACGUGUAGGGCUUUGCAUGUACCGUAUGAAUAAGGACCGGCUAAUUCCGUGCCAGCAGCCGCGGUAAUACGGAAGGUCCGGGCGUUAUCCGGAUUUAUUGGGUUUAAAGGGAGCGUAGGCCGCAUGUCAAGCGUGCUGUGAAAUGUCCGGGCUCAACCCGGGCCUUGAAGCGCGAACUGGCGUGCUUGAGUCCGCGGAAAGCAGGCGGAAUUCGUCGUGUAGCGGUGAAAUGCUUAGAUAUGACGAAGAACCCCGAUUGCGAAGGCAGCUUGCUGCAGCGGAACUGACGCUGAUGCUCGAAAGCGCGGGUAUCGAACAGGAUUAGAUACCCGAGUAGUC